rnacentral:tRNA from 1 species
AUUGAAGUGGCAGAUUAAUGCAAUAGACUUAAAAUCUAUAGAUGGCCUAGCCCUUUAAUA